GACGAACGCUGGCGGCGUGCUUAACACAUGCAAGUCGAACGAAAAGGCCCUGCUUUUGUGGGGUGCUCGAGUGGCGAACGGGUGAGUAACACGUGAGUAACCUGCCCUUGACUUUGGGAUAACUUCAGGAAAAUGGGGCUAAUACCGGAUAGGAGCUCCCGCUGCAUGGUGGGGGUUGGAAAGUUUCGGCGGUGGGGGAUGGACUCGCGGCUCAUCAGCCUGUUGGUGGGGUAGUGGCUUACCAAGGUUUUGACGGGUAGCCGGCCUGAGAGGGUGACCGGGCACAUUGGGACUACGGGACGGACCAGAAUCCAACGGGCGGCAGCAGUGGGGAAUAUUGCACAAUGGGCGGAAGCCUGAUGCAGCAACGCCGCGUGCGGGAUGACGGCCUUCGGGUUGUAAACCGCUUUCGCCUGUGACGAAGCGUGAGUGACGGUAAUGGGUAAAGAAGCACCGGCUAACUACGUG
rnacentral:rRNA from 1 species